GGCCAUCACUGUCUGCCGUGUUCUAGAGUGCCAUCCUACCUGGAUGCUAACCCGAAGUAAGGGGAGAAAGCCAGGGCCUUGGCGCCUGACACCCUCACCCACCUGGAUAUGCCUUCUCCUCCCACAUAUCUCCGCCCCAGAAGACAAGGCGAUUCCUUCCAUCUUGGGUGAUAACAACCUCCUGCACCCCACAUCAUGAGAUGACUCCACCACAGAAUUGUAGUCAAAACUGUAUGAUCGGAGCCAGCAGGCCAGCCCUUUGUGUGACAACUAAAGGAAUCUCGCCAGCCUGGUUGGAUGGAGAAGCAAGGCCGUGGCCUCCAAGACCAGCUGUUCGUGAAGAGGGCGGAUGCGGCUUUGACCACCUGGGGAGUGGAUUUGGCACUACGGGAUCUUGGUGAUGGUGCCCCCAUCUGUGCAUUCUGCUCCAACCUGUGACCUUCCCUUCACUCUAUGCCCUCUCCCAAGAGCUGUAUCUUUGAAAAGUCCAUACUGUAGGAACUUCUUCCUGGGGACUUAACUGUCCCAUGAUCUUGGGUGGGAUCAGUGCUGGUGGGUAAUGGCCCCAUGACUUGUGGCCCUUUACCACGCUCCUCUUUGCCGUCUCCAUCACAUCUGGAAGCUUCUUCCAUGUUAAGCAGACCCUUGAGAGACAUUGCCACUGUGGACACCUGUUGGUUCUGCCUCCCGCUCCCAUCUACCUUUCCCCUGGUCAUUGAAGAGUCACUCUGUGAUCCUCUGGGUCCACCUCGAUUGAGGUCAGCACAUCUGUCUUACUUAAACCUAGCACCAGAGACCCUCACUGCCCUGGCUGCAGGGCGCAUGCCCGUCCCAUUGUCACAAGCCUUUAGUCCCUUAAAUCUUUCGUCCCUCCCUUUGUCCCUGGUGUUGCUUUUUGCAAACCUGUCUCCUUCCCCUCCCCUGCCUGAGAUCUCCGUGUGGUGCAGGGGCGCUGUCAGCAGCAGAGCUGUUUCUGACUGGGAAGCCUAAUUAAUUAGUCCACCAAUUAGCGGCAAAAAGCAAACCCCGUAUUUCGGGUUUACCUUAUGUGGUUUUUUCUCAUGUGACUGUGACUGGGAAAAUCAGAGGCCAUACGAUCUGGUGGAGUCCCCUGAAUGACAGGAACCUUUCCAGAGGGCUCUGGGCUAUGUUACUGAUGUUUCUGCUGGCUGCAUCACUCCCACAGUCAUUUAUGUUCCCUUCAAAGACACCGCCUCUGCAUCCUGUGGCUGAACUUUUCUACUCAUCUUUGAUGAGGACAAUUCGGACCUAUAGGCAAUCACCUCCUUUGUUCCUUAGAGUGUUUCUAAGGUUGUAGCCCAGUGCUAGGUUAGUUAGCCACUUAGCUACAAACACUGGUCUUGAGGGCAUCCCUGGGUGAGUGAUGUGGACACUGGCUCUACUCAACCAUGCGUGACAUGCAGAAGAUGGAGGGGCCCUCUGGGCUAACGAGGAGCCACAGCAAUCUCAGCCAGGCUUGGGUCCCAGAGAAAUCAGGAAAUCUGAUGUGCAGGCCAGAGUUCAGGAGGAAGCUGAAGGCUUACUGCGUAGGUGGCUUUUGGGGAAAUAUCCCUUUGUGGUCCCACGGCAUCCCCUCAUCCCAGGGAAGAUUUCACAUGAUAAGCCUUCUCCAAGCAAGGCCAGGCAGUGCCCACUUGCCUGAAAGGGUCCACAGGAGCUAUGCAUUGCUUUGUUCAAAUGUGCUUGGUGAAGAUAUGUGUUCCAAUGGUUGCAGGAAGUUUAGGGUGGGAGAUGCAAAUAUCCCCAGCAUGUGCCCUGACAAAAUGCUACGACUGCAGGUCAGCGGGCAGCCCCAUCACUACAAUAAAAGUCAAGAGCAACUAGCCAGCUAGCUGUAGUUUGUUUCCAACAAAAUGAAAACACAGACCUUUUUUGUGCUUUUUUUCCUAAAUUGUUAGAGUUGGGUAAAUGUUACUUCUGGAAUCCCACAGAAAGAAAUAGUAAACAAUUUGUUGGACAUUUAGAAAUCACUUCAUAAUAAAUUUUGAUGCAGUG